GUCCUUUGACUCCAAAACAAAUGGAAGUAAUGGAAAAGUUUGAUGGUAAAAAGUUAUCUAAGUUUCCUCCUGGUUGGGAUGCUUUUAUUAGACCAGAUAAAGUUUAUGAAUAUGUUUUUGAAAAACCAUGUCCUGAAAUUUAAUUUUUUAUUUUAUUUUAUUAUUUCUCUAUACCCCUAAAAACAGAAAAAGUACAGGAAUAGUACAUACUUUUUUCUGCAAUUUUGCUGUUUUUACCAGGAAAAGUACAGAAAUUAGGGACUCUAAUUUUUAUCAAUUUUUUCUUAUUUUUUCCAAUUUU
rnacentral:lncRNA from 1 species